rnacentral:rRNA from 1 species
UGGGGAAUAUUGGACAAUGGGCGCAAGCCUGAUCCAGCAAUGCCGCGUGUGUGAAGAAGGCCUUCGGGUUGUAAAGCACUUUUAUCAGGAGCGAAACGCUGUCGGCUAAUACCCGGCGGAACUGACGGUACCUGAGGAAUAAGCACCGGCUAACUUCGUGCCAGCAGCCGCGGUAAUACGAAGGGUGCAAGCGUUAAUCGGAAUUACUGGGCGUAAAGCGUGCGUAGGCGGUUUCUUAAGUCUGCUGUGAAAUCCCCGGGCUCAACCUGGGAAUGGCAGUGGAUACUGGGAGGCUAGAGUGUGUCAGAGGGUGGUGGAAUUCCCGGUGUAGCGGUGAAAUGCGUAGAGAUCGGGAGGAACAUCAGUGGCGAAGGCGGCCACCUGGGACAACACUGACGCUGAGGCACGAAAAGCGUGGGGAGCAAACAGGAUUAGAUACCCUGGUAGUCCACGCCCUAAACGAUGCGAACUGGAUGUUGGUCUCAACUCGGAGAUCAGUGUCGAAGCUAACGCGUUAAGUUCGCCGCCUGGGGAGUACGGUCGCAAGACUGAAACUCAAAUGAAUUGACGGGGUCAU